CGCGUAGGCGGCUUGGCAAGUCUGACGUGAAAUGUACCGGUUCAACCGGGGCGCUGUGUCAGAAACUGCCUUGCUUGAGGUCGAGGGAGGAAAGUGGAAUUCCUGGUGUAGCGGUGAAAUGCGUAGAUAUCAGGAGGAACACCCGUGGCGAAGGCGGCUUUCUAUCUCGAUUCUGACGCUGAGGCGCGAAAGCUAGGGGAGCAAACG
rnacentral:rRNA from 1 species